CUUAAGACAUCUUUUUAGGGUCCUGAAAUUACAUGCGCCAAGCACCUGUUACAUGGCUUCUUUGAAGGUUAAUGAAGCAGAAAAAUGGAGUUCAAAUACACGGAGAGAAAUAUAAUGAAGGAAAAAGAGGAAUAGACUAGCCUUUUAGAAGCACAUAGUGAAAAAACAUCUAAUGAUCUUUUAUUGUGUUGACAUGUAUUUUAGGUUUAAAAAGAAACUAUUAGAGUCAAUCAUUAUAUUAUGUUUUACAACCCUUACCUAUUUUAGGCCUCCAAACCGUUUUUACCUGUGAUUUAAAAAAUAACUUAGAACUGCACUUCUGCCAUUCACUGGAGCUGAUUUGCACUCUGAACUCUGUUCUAACCUAAUCAGGGCCCCACUUUCUCAUUGGGUAACCAAGCAAAAACAUGAAAGCGGUGAGUUGUACACAAAGACACAUGAGGGCCAAAUUGUCUUAAGUUUCCAGAAUGGCCAGUGAAGAUGGCAGCAACUUCUUGCUACAUUUUGAUGGAUCCCUGGCAUGGAAAAGCAAGAUGAUCCCUUAUCCUAGAACUAUGUACUGUCCAACAGUGGCAUCUUUGUGAUAAGAUGUUUCCACUUUCAAAGGAAGCUAUGCAGGCAGCUUCCAGAAUCCUGUGUAUCAAAGUAUUUCGGUUGGUGCAAAAGUAACCGUGUUUUUUGCCAUUAAAAGUAAUGAAAUCAUUUUUAGGUUGGUGCAAAAUUGUGGUUUUUAUCAUUCCUUUUGCACCAACCUAACAAAACACGAAACACAUCAUUUGAUAAGAUACAAAUAUCAAGCCUGAACUUAAUUAAAAAUGCUUACAAUGUGACCAAUUUAGAGACUAUCUUAUGAACAAGAACAGACAUCUCUUAUGGAAAUAAGAGCUUAGGUUUAUAUGGAUUUAAACUUUUUGAAGCAAUUUUACAUUUUAUUGCAUUUGAUUCUUCUAUCUGUGAGGAUUGUUGUAAUGACAAACCACAGAGAAUAUCAUUGGCUUAAAACAGCACGGGUGUUAUUUCUUGCUCAUGUUACUUUUCAUGGAUCACCUGAGGAGAGCCACUUGCCCUCUAUUACCCUCACUCAGGUAUCCAGGCCAAGGGAAGCUCCAUCUCUGUGCUUCUGUGAUUGCGAAGUCGGGGAAAGGGAGCAUGCUGAGUGGUACACUAGCUGUAUCUUCUUGAAAGUGAUUCAGGUCACUUCUGCUCAUUGUUUGUGAGCCAAAGCAAGUCCCAUGGUUCCUUCUUCAAAGGAAGUGAGGAACUUAAACCAGCUCUAUUCAGAUCUCAGAGCAAUGAGUGGUGCUGACAGGAGGCUGACAGGAAGCCUGCGGGCAGCAAAAAGCUCAAGCAGUGAGUGAGGAAACAAGAGAA
rnacentral:lncRNA from 1 species